UACGGGGGGGGCAAGCGUUGUUCGGAAUUACUGGGCGUAAAGGGCUCGUAGGCGGCCAACUAAGUCGGAUGUGAAACCUCCAGGCUCAACCUGGAGACGCCACCUGAUACUGCUGUGGCUAGAGUCCGGUAGGGGAGCGUGGAAUUCCUGGUGUAGCGGUGAAAUGCGCAGAUAUCAGGAGGAACACCAGCGGCGAAGGCGGCGCUCUGGGCCGGAACUGACGCUGAGGAGCGAAAGCGUGGGUAGCAAACAGG
rnacentral:rRNA from 1 species